ensembl:lncRNA
CCCGAAGAAAGUAAUAGCUGCCCUCCUCUCUCCUCCCCAUAGGUGAUUUUCUAUACUUUCUUAUAUAUUCCAUCUAGUAAUUAUCUUCCUCAUUGCAUUUUGUUACUUGCUCUGUAAGGAAGAAUUUUAUGUCUUUGAUAAUCCUUAUCUCCUUUUUGUUGCUAGAUUUUCUUCUGUGUCCUUGAUCAGUGAGUAUCACUGUUAAAGAUUCAGAAGCAUCAUGACAUGACAAUGAUUUCUUUUUCAUUCCCUUCUACUCCUAUUUCUAUUUCCAUUUCCACUUCACCCUUCUUUCCUAUCCCUUCUGAGACUCUUUAAGUACCUUUAAUGAGACAAUUUAUUAUAUUCUGGCCUGUGUGGCAAAACCAGUUCUCAGCCUGUUGGCCUUCCAGGAGCUCUGCAUAAGCCAUUGCUUCUGAGAAAGAGGGAGUCUUUCCAGGCUAAAAGUGACUGGUGUGCCAUGACACGUGUUCAUUUUUCAGGUGGCUGUAAAACAUCUACUGAAGUGGCCAUGGACUCUUACUAUGAUCUUCAGAUUUUAAAGCCAAAAAGAAGCAAUUUUUAGAACUAGUAUUUGUUUUUACAGAACAGUGAUCGGCAGUGUUGAAGAGUGCAGUGAUGCAAUGCCAUACAAAGCUUUAUCUCAAGAAAUGGAUUCAACAGCCUUGCCUUUCCGUAUUAAAUUUUAGAGAUUUGAGAAAAAUCACCGGACUUCCACCCAGCAGAAAUCAGGUGAAAGCUUCUUCACUGGCAGACAAGGAAGAGAGGACUUGAGAAAGAGUUGUAGAAUCAUUGAGUAUCCCGAGGUGGAAGAGACUCAUAAGCAUCACUGAGUUAAAACACAAUCAGGACCCAUGACAGCAGGGCUGACUCAGCUGCUUAGCAUGGAAAAUCACCAAAAAUAUUCCACCCUGAGAGCUGAUAAAAGACACAAAGCACUUAAAAAGCCUCAGAUGUAAGAAGUGCCAAAGUCACUUCUGUUGGCAGGCUUUGAAGAUAACUGGCCAUCAGUCAGAAGAUGACUAAAGAAGACACGCUUGCAUCUGGUAAUGCAACAAAACUUCCUCAGUGCUUCUUUCCUCCUCCUCCUGCUGUGCAGGGUGAUGUGGAGCAGCUGCCUCUGUGGCUGCUCUCUGUGCUUAUCAUGUGCAAGCAGUUAAACACUUCCCAGCGUGGAGAAGCGGUGCAGUCUCCUUGGCUGAAAUCUGCCUCCUGCAUGGCAAUGCAGAGGGGGAGGGAGGGCUGGGCUGAGGCAGCCUCACACCUUCACCAUUUCAUGCCUGAUCAGUUGCACCCCACUGUGCUGGAAAAUAUGUUAUGCCAAACUAAUCCUAUUCUGAGAAAACAUUUCAGGGGCAACUGCCAUACCUGUGAUAUUUCAAAUACGAGUUUGGAAUUCACACCUUAUCAGGAAGAGCACACUGACUUUCGUAGUAGUUGUCUGGUGAGUUUGGGUACAGCAGCACAAAUGUUUACUUACACCGUGUUCAGAGAUGAUAAACCACAGCUGCUAACAGAUUGCUAAUUAAAUCUUAGUUAAGCUUUGUCCUUCCCGCCUUUGUGCAAACCUUUAGCAUUUAAGAAUGCAAUUUGCAUGCACAGAGGCAGCAAAGGAAGCGCUGUUUUGGUAAUAAGAUGAGGAGGUGCUCUCUCCACAUUCAGGCUUUAUCUGCCACAGAGGUGCUGGUUCCUGGGAUUCAUUGCUGCUGCUUAUUCAGGCGCUCAGAGGUUUGUGCUGCAUAUUAAUUUCUGUCCAACACGGGAAUUCAAUUUGUGCCGUACAUUUCAUUUCUUCACAGAUUUAGAUUUAUUUCAUGUUCUCUGCUUUUAAUUAACUCUCUGGCACAGCUGCUGGACAGGAUAUAAAAACUCAUUGCUCUCCCCGCGCUGUGUGUACACCACCAAUCAUUUGCCACUUAGAUGGUGGUGCAGGAGCAAUCAGUUUCCAUGGCAACCCAGGCCCCAUUGAUUGAUUCCUUGCCAGUGUGGCAUCACCACGCGGAGCGAGGCUUGUGAUUUUUGCAUGCGUGCAACAUCCAUCUAAUUAAAAUGGGAUUAGAGAUUCAUCCCUGUAUGUGUUCAACAACUGCACUGCAAUCCAUUUAUGUAAAUGUCAACUCUAUUCAGCACCGUCAUCGGAGUGUUGAUGAAGAAACAGUUGCUUUGCUUCAGUAUCUUGCAGUGGGUGGGGGAAAUGGAAAGAGUAAAAUGUACACAGCCUUUUUUUGGCUAUUAGAAAAAAAUAAUAAAAUAAAGCCAUUCACUGAUGCUCAAAAGUUAUGAAAAUAGUAACCUGUUUCCAAAUCUGCAUUAGAACCCUGGGUAGCAAAGAUGGAAGAGCUCUUCUGGCUGUGCUGAUGUGCUGGUGGCUCACCCAGGAAAAUGUGUUGAGCCUGUCCAGGAAAAUCAUUAAUUAAUUUAGCAUGCAUGAAUUAUUUAUUUGCCAAAAGCUUUUAAUUCCUAUGAUUGAUUUGCAUUCAGUCGCACCUCCUGAGAGCAAAGUAAUCCUGGUGCUCUCAUAAUUGUCCUUCAGUAGAGCAUUCCUCAAGCCUUAUAGUGGUUACUUGAAAAUUUGUGAGGCUUUUGCAGAUUAGGUGAGUUGACAGAUCUAUAGCAUACAAGGAGGCUCCAGAUGAAAGGAGAAACUCAGGGAUUUUUUGGAGGGUUAAAAAAGAAGCCAGGUCCAUCAGGGAAUUGCUAGAUGUAAAUUAGAAGAAAAAACAGAAAUGAAUGGACGCUUGGUGACUGAUCUGUUAGAAUUUUUUCUUAAUAUGUCAUCAUUUUUUCCACAUACCAUUGACAAAAUAAUCUGUUAACAUGAAAAGUGGC